GAUGAACGCUGGCGGCGUGCCUAAUACAUGCAAGUCGAGCGAACAGACGAGGAGCUUGCUCCUCUGACGUUAGCGGCGGACGGGUGAGUAACACGUGGAUAACCUACCUAUAAGACUUGGAUAACUUCGGGAAACCGGAGCUAAUACCGGAUAAUAUAUUGAACCGCAUGGUUCAAUAGUGAAAGACGGUUUUGCUGUCACUUAUAGAUGGAUCCGCGCCGCAUUAGCUAGUUGGUAAGGUAACGGCUUACCAAGGCAACGUUGCGUAGCCGACCUGAGAGGGUGAUCGGCCACACUGGAACUGAGACACGGUCCAGACUCCUACGGGAGGCAGCAGUAGGGAAUCUUCCGCAAUGGGCGAAAGCCUGACGGAGCAACGCCGCGUGAGUGAUGAAGGUCUUCGGAUCGUAAAACUCUGUUAUUAGGGAAGAACAAAUGUGUAAGUAACUAUGCACGUCUUGACGGUACCUAAUCAGAAAGCCACGGCUAACUACGUG
rnacentral:rRNA from 1 species